GGGGCUGUGGCUUAGUGGUAUAGUGCUCACCUAGCAUGUGUGAGGCCCUAGGUUCAAUCCUCAGCACCG
rnacentral:tRNA from 1 species